GUCUAACUUGUCACUCUGAAAUUGUAUUGCAGCAAGACAUUGGCUGCAUAUCCAAGUGACUUGGCUAGCUGCUGCACUGCAUCCAAACCAGCCCAGAAUCUCUUGGCACGCCCACCGGCUACGUGGACCACUACUGUUUUGGAAAUGAAACACAAAACAACAUGGUGUUUCAAGCCAACUUUAAUCUUCUUCUCUUGAAUCUCUCUUUCGAGGCUGCUGACCGCGCCUUCUACAAUGCCACAAAUUUUCUAGGCGCUCCAACAAUCUACGCUCUCUACCUCUGUCGAGGGCACGUCGCACAAAAUGUGUGCCAAAAUUGUGUUGCCUCAUCAACCCAGUUUCUCAACCAAACAUGCAGCAGCCACAGGCAAGCUCUGGUGUGGAAUGAGAAUUGUAUGAGUUUGGUGACUCAUACGGUUGAGGGCACCAAGACCGUGGUGAUGGUUUUGCUCCAGUGAGCUUGAAUUGAUCGAGACCAGUAUCAAAUUCAACAUAAGGAGAGUUGGAAGAACUCUGGCAAGCUUGAAGCAAUCAAGACCAGUAUUGCGUUCAACAUAAGGACUGCCAAAAGAUCAUCCUAUGACAGAAGUUGAGUUACGAAGAAGCCGGUAAACAUUAUCUUGAAUGUGUCUAGGAUAAUUGUGUGAGUACUUCUUGUAAUCAUCAUUCUAUAGUAGAUUUGUUUUGGACUGAGGAGUUCCGUGGAUUUUCCCAGAGGUAGGGUU